rnacentral:misc_RNA from 1 species
UUUCCGUAGGUGAACCUGCGGAAGGAUCAUUCAUAAUAAAGUGUUUUAUGGCACUUUUUAAAAAUCCAUAUCCACCUUGUGUGCAAUGUUAGAUCUCGUCAAUCUUGGCGAGAUUUUUAUACAUCAGCUCAUUUUUUAACUAAUUUGUCUGAAAAAUAUUAUGAAUACUUAAUUCAAAAUACAACUUUCAACAACGGAUCUCUUGGCUCUC